rnacentral:misc_RNA from 1 species
AAGUCGUAACAAGGUUUCCGUAGGUGAACCUGCGGAAGGAUCAUUAUUGAAUAAACCUGAUGUGGUUGUAGCUGGCCCUUUCGGGGGUAUGUGCACGCCCGUCAUCUUUAUCUUUCCACCUGUGCACUUUUUGUAGACCUGGAUGUAACACUUUCCGAGGCAACUCGGUCGGGAGGAAUGCUGUCGGCUUUCCUUGCAUGUCCAGGCCUAUGUUUUCACAUACCCCAAAGAAUGUAACAGAAUGUAUCAUUGGGCCCUGUGCCUAUAAACUAUAUACAACUUUCAGCAACGGAUCUCUUGGCUCUC